AUCAGCGCUGCUGCGCUUCCACCUACUGCAGAGGAACUGCUGCCAUUACUCGGAGGAAAGAGGAGCAGGUUCGGACGGUCUCCCACUCAACUAUCCAAACAAGACACACCGAGCGGCGCGAGAGAGAGAGGAGAGGCUGAUGCUAAUCAUUCGACUGCUUUGCAGAAGCUCUCAGAGAAUAUCUAGAUGGCAGACUGCUGAAUUCCCAUGAUACCAUCAAAGAAUCAGAUACCAGUUAAGACUGAAACGGUGUGUGCAGAGAACCACGUCCAUGAAGCAGAGAAACUCGUCUCUCAUUGGCCAGCCCACAGCAAGGUAUAGAGUAUGUUGAGGCCCUGUCUGCAUGACUGACUCUUCCACACGGACGGUCCCGCCCUCCCCAAUCUGCCGUGGUUCUCUUUGCAAUCUGUCACACUGCCUCACAUAGACGAACUGUUGCUCCUUCACAGCCACGUGGGAGCUCUCUGGGAUACCC